UACAGAGGGGGCAAGCGUUGUUCGGAAUUACUGGGCGUAAAGGGCGCGUAGGCGGCCCGCUAAGUCGAACGUGAAAUCCCCGGGCUCAACCCGGGAACUGCGUCCGAUACUGGAUGGCUUGAGUUUGGGAGAGGGAUGCGGAAUUCCAGGUGUAGCGGUGAAAUGCGUAGAUAUCUGGAGGAACACCGGUGGCGAAGGCGGCAUCCUGGACCAACACUGACACUGAGGAGCGAAAGCCAGGGGAGCAAACGGG
rnacentral:rRNA from 1 species